AGUCCAGUGACACUGAUUGGGUACAAUCUACUACAAAAGCUGCACCACCUACUCCAGCUGCACUAAUUCAAUUUUUUCAGAGACUUCACAGAGUAACUAUCCUAAGAAGAGAAAGAUGAAUCACCACAGUAACGAAGAUGAAUAUGUGUGUGAGAUUGCUAAAACGAUGAUGGUGAAUAUCUAUACCUUAUUGAGAAGAAAAAGAUAAGACAAACAGUGAACAUCCUCCUCCCGAAUACUUCUUCAAAGCUGCCAGCAUGCUUUGGAAUGUUCUUCCUGGCCUGCCAGUUCAGUGACAUUGAUUGGGCAUAAUCUGCUACAAAGGUUGCACCUCGUACUCCGACUGCACUCAAUGAAUCAUCACAGUAACGAAGAUGAUUAUGUGUGAGAUUGCUAAAACAAUGAUGGUGAAUAUUCUAUACCUUAUUGAUAAGAAAAAGAUAAGGCAAACGGUCGACAUCUUCCCUCCGAAUCCUUCUUC